rnacentral:rRNA from 1 species
AGAGUUUGAUCCUGGCUUAGGAUGAACGCUGGCGGCGUGCCUAACACAUGCAAGUCGAGCGGAGCCACAGGGUGAUCCUUCGGGUGAUCCCUAUGACUUAGCGGCGGAUGGGUGAGUAACACGUGGGUAAUCUGCCCUGCACUGGGGGAUAACAGUUGGAAACGACUGUUAAUACCGCAUAUGCACACGUGGCCGCAUGGCCGUGGGUGGAAAGAUUCAUCGGUGCAGGAUGAGCCCGCGUCGGAUUAACUAGUUGGCAGGGUAACGGCCUACCAAGGUGAUGAUCCGUAGCCGGCCUGAGAGGGCGACCGGCCACAUUGGGACUGAGACACGGCCCAAACUCCUACGGGAGGCAGCAGUGGGGAAUAUUGCACAAUGGGCGCAAAGCCUGAUGCAGCGACGCCGCGUGAAGGAAGAAGUAUUUCGGUAUGUAAACUUCUAUCAGCGGGGAAGAAGAUGACGGUACCCGACUAAGAAGCCCCGGCUAACUACGUGCCAGCCGCCGC